AUCUGGGUAGCUCAGUGGUUGAGCACCUGCCUUCGGCUCAGGUCAUGAUCCUGGGAUCCAGUCCCACCCCAGGCU
rnacentral:tRNA from 1 species